AUAUCAAUAAGCGGAGGAAAAGAAACUAACAAGGAUUCCCCUAGUAACGGCGAGUGAACCGGGAAGAGCUCAAAUUUGAAAUCUGGCAGUCUUCGAUUGUCCGAGUUGUAAUCUAUAGAAGCGUUUUCCGUGCUGAACUGUGUAUAAGUCCCUUGGAACAGGGUAUCAAAGAGGGUGACAAUCCCGUACUUUACACAAUCAUCAGUGCUCUGUGAUACGUUCUCUACGAGUCGAGUUGUUUGGGAAUGCAGCUCAAAAUGGGUGGUAAAUUCCAUCUAAAGCUAAAUAUUGGCGAGAGACCGAUAGCGAACAAGUACCGUGAGGGAAAGAUGAAAAGCACUUUGGAAAGAGAGUUAAACAGUACGUGAAAUUGUUGAAAGGGAAACGAAAUUCAUGAAUCAUGUUUAUUGGACUCAGCCGUUCUUCGGUGUACUUCCUUUAAACGGGUCAACAUCAGUUUUGUCCGAUGGAUAAAGGUAGUAGGAAGGUGGCUCUCUCGGGAGUGUUAUAGCCUAUUGCUGCAUACAUUGGAUGAGACUGAGGACUGCAGCUUGCCUUUAUGGCCGGGGUUCGCCCACGUUCAAGCUUAGGAUGUUGACAUAUUC
rnacentral:rRNA from 1 species